GGUUAAAAACAUGUUUUUAGGAGAGCUUUAAUUUACUUUUCCGCUAGUUGCUGAGUGUGGUAUCAAUAGUCUUGGCUGAGGUUUUAAAAUCUCUGCAUUAGCAAUCCCAAGAAAAUGAUGCAGCUUGGUAUAUUAAUUAUGAUAUCUUACUUUGUUCACUUUACAGCUAGCAGUGGGCCAGAACUUUCAGUUGUGCAAUACCCUGAAGAUGCCAGUGUGCUUCUGAACUCAACGGUGUGGAUGCUCUGUGUAUUUGAGUACCCAGAGGAGGAGAACGAGGAGCCUGUCGUGUACUGGAGGAAGGGCCCUGACUAUAAUAAUCUGCAGAGUCUUCAGUCGAGCGCAGGAACUGCUAGGCCACACAUACGCAUUACAAAGAACAUACUCAAGGGAUUCUCCGUCUUGAAACUGAGCAAUGUUGAUCACAGUGCCAGUAGUUCAUAUUUCUGUGAUGUGACACUAACUCAGAACGUCCGGAGCAAACGUGGAAGUGGCACCAACCUGACUGUACACGACUUUAAAUGCAAAGACUGUAUAAGAUCAGACAAGACCUGGUGGGGUUGGUUUCUUCUUCUUGGAUACACCAUCUUUGUCACCACAGUUAUCAUAGCUUUCAGUAUUCAUCAGGGCUGUAAAAAGUGCAAGAACAGGUCAAGAAACACAGACAGCAGCGCUACCUUGCCAAGUGACUGGAUUUACGACAAGCCAUCCAGACCAGUUAACAAUGGGUUUAAUCAAGAAUAUGAAGACAUGUCGCUAAUAAGGACUUUCACUGACAUUGGAAGGAAGGUGAUAUGAAAAAGAAAUUGAAUGCUCCCAGAGCACCAUGUUUUCUGCUGUGAAUUAAAGAUCAGUCUUCCCCUCCUAUAAAGCCUAAUGAUUGUGUGAUAUUCUAUAACAUUAAACUUAUUGUCAGCUUAGCAAAGCUUUCUGUAGAACUUUUCCAGGUUAUUAUACAUUUAUAUUAUCUUUAAGCAUUCUAUGAAUAAAGAUGCCAAUAAAAACCA
ensembl:lncRNA